AAAAGAACUUUGGAGAGAGAGUCAAAAAGACCGCGAAACCGUUAGGAGGGAAGCGAAUGCAGCCAAAGUGGCUCUUGUUCAGGCUCAGGAGUUGUUGGCGUGCUGUGCUGGGAUGUCAGACGCCGUAGGGUGCUGCAGCUCGGAUACAGCUGUCGACCACUUUGCAUUCCUGACAAGAGCCAGCCAACGGCAGUUACCCCUGGCUCAAGAGGGUUGGCGGGAAGGUAGCUUCUUGGUUUACCAGGAAGAACUUAUAGCCACCAGCCUGGCAGUCUGGGAGUGACUGAGGAGUGCUGUGACUUUUUCACACCCGCAGUACAGGCUCCCCAGGGGCCGGGUCCCUUCUGCCUGUGUGGGCAACGCCACAGGGACUGCGUGCAGUGUCUGGGGACGGAUGUGUGCUCAGGCGGGAGGUCGGCCACGCCUUGUGCUGUAGUCGUUGGUAGCUGGAUGGCUUCAUUCGACCCGUCUUG
rnacentral:sRNA from 1 species